UCGAUGUCCACCUCACAGUUAGUCAGAUCCAUAACAAAUCAACAACCAUGAUCCGAGUUCUCGUUCUCCUCAGUGUCUGUGUCGCUAUGGCGUACUCCGCCGGAUACCAGCCCGGUGCUUACAUUCCCGGUGGUCACAUUGGAGCUGGACAUGGUGGUGGUAUCGGCAGUGGCAUCAUCGGUAGAGGCGGAAGUCAGUGGGGCUCUAGUCGGCAGUGGUCUAGCCAAGGAGGAAUAGGAGGACACGGUGCUGGCAUUGGAAGUGGAAUAGGAAGAAUCAUCGGAGGUGGUCCCAGAGGCGGACAUAUUGGCGGAGGACAAGGGAGGAUCAACGGGGGUGGUCACGGAUGUGGGCCCUAUGGUUGUAACCAAUACGGACGUAAAUAGAUCAAUAUAAGUGGAGUUUUCAUCUUCUUAUUUAUUUAUUUAUUUCAAUUUUAAGGGCGGUAUUUAUUAUGUUCAAUUAAAUGUUCAAAAUAAAAGUCUGAAAAUAACUUCUGUUUGAUGAUUUGUUCUAAGAUGACUCACGUCCAUACCAAACCUGCCCUAAAGGGACAAAUGUUCCCACGUGGUUGAUUGCAACAUAUAGUUGGGUAUAUUAUAAGCAUCUGUUGUGAAAAGCGACAUUUCAAAUACAGAAACAGAUAUCUUUGAUGCAUUUCACAACGCCCCAGUAACAGCCG